AGCAGCCGCCACGGGAAUACGUAGGGUGCAAGCGUUAAUCGGAAUUACUGGGCGUAAAGCGUGCGCAGGCGGUUCGUUAAGACAGAUGUGAAAUCCCCGGGCUUAACCUGGGAACUGCAUUUGUGACUGGCGGGCUAGAGUAUGGCAGAGGGGGGUAGAAUUCCACGUGUAGCAGUGAAAUGCGUAGAGAUGUGGAGGAAUACCGAUGGCGAAGGCAGCCCCCUGGGCCAAUACUGACGCCCAUGCACGAAAGCGUGGGGAGCAAACAGGAUUAGAUACCCCAGUAGUCCCUGUCUCUUAUAC
rnacentral:rRNA from 1 species